CUGCAAUAGGGAUAGUAGUGGAAAUCCUUUUUUGCAAAAAAAGAUUGCAACGGAUAGCCCGACCCGAG
rnacentral:sRNA from 1 species